rnacentral:rRNA from 1 species
GUAGUCUGCAACUCGACUACAUGAAGCUGGAAUCGCUAGUAAUCGCGAAUCAGAAUGUCGCGGUGAAUACGUUCCCGGGUCUUGUACACACCGCCCGUCACACCAUGGGAGUCAGUAACGCCCGAAGUCAGUGACCCAACCGGAACCGGAGGGAGCUGCCGAAGGUGGGACCGAUAACUGGGGUGAAGUCGUAACAAGGUAUC